rnacentral:rRNA from 1 species
CCUACGGGAGGCUGCAGUGAGGAAUAUUGGUCAAUGGGCGCGAGCCUGAACCAGCCAAGUCGCGUGAGGGAGGACGGCCCUACGGGUUGUAAACCUCUUUUGCCGGGGAGCAACGGGCGCCACAUGUGGCGUCACUGAGAGUACCCGGAGAAAAAGCAUCGGCUAACUCCGUGCCAGCAGCCGCGGUAAUACGGGGGAUGCGAGCGUUAUCCGGAUUUAUUGGGUUUAAAGGGUGCGUAGGCGGAUCGUUAAGUCAGUGGUCACAUUGAGGGGCUCAACCCCUGCCCGCCAUUGAAACUGGCGUUCUUGAGUGGAAGAGAAGUAUGCGGAAUGCGUGGUGUAGCGGUGAGAUGCGUAGAUAUUAGGAGGAACACCAGUGGCGAAGGCGGCCUACUGGACGGUGACUGACGCUGAGGCUCGAAAGCGUGGGGAGCAAACAGGAUUAGAUACCCGUGUAGUC